UACUCUAACAAGGAGAUAGAACACUGACGAAUGUCUCCAUAGGAAUAAACGGUGUGAAAUCGUAACGCCAAAACGUCGAAUGCCUGCUUAUCUCCCGCCUACCCGCAACAAGAGCCAAUCGGUUGCUGAGCUGUGCCAUCAUUGAUCCAAUCAUCUCAUCGCAUCGACGCAAGCGCAAAAAUGAGCUUUUACGACGGCUCGUUCCUCAUCAGCUGUUGCCAUGUGUGUGGCCCGUUUUCCGACCGUACCGUAACCAGGUAAUGGGAUCUACCCGUCAGAUGUACAACUGUCUUGGGAAUCCUCAUACAGACUAAAGGUGUUUUGCCCCCGCGGUUGUGAAGAGGAUGCUGUGGAAGUGGCAGCAUGAACGUGUCACACAGACAUUGGCUAAACUGCUCAGCUUCUACACUUGCCCUCAGAGUUCACAUAUGGUUAAGUGCCCAGGUGUCCAGCCAGGUUCAGACUGAUGCUGGUAACAAGAGGAAAACAUGCUGAUUGGAAUGAUUCAACGAUGGACAUUUUGCUUAAUUGUGGAAAAAAAUAAAUGGAAAAACUUC